GUAAGACAAGAUUAUUGAAUGAUUGGUCAAGAUAAUUUGAAGAAAAAUAAUUGCAGGAAGAAAGAAGUGACACAAGUGUACAACGAUGUUUUUGGCUUUUUUAUACACCGUUUUUAGGGUUCCGUAGCCAAAAUGGCAAAAACGGAACCCUAACCCUCUUAUUAUAAAACGCGGUAUCAAAUAAGUAUCGGCUUUUGUACUACCUUUAAUCCACCUUUAAGUACGACCUUGAAAAAACGUUAUUACAAAACGCAGUUUAUCGCAAGUCCUAUUACUAUCUGUAGUACAAAAGAUAAACCAUCGAGCCCCCUAGUUUAACUGCAGUACUUAGUCGACAAACGUCAAAUUCCGACAUUAUUUACUUUUGAGGUUAUUUGUUUUGUGAUGAAAAAAACGAAAGUGGAUAUAAAUAUGUGUGUUUUGGAAUACUUGGAUGUGUUAGAAUACUAUUGAGAGUGUCCGGGGACCCAACAGAAUGCGUCAUCGACAAAAUCUCUUCAAAUUACCUGACGACAAUUUUCGAUAUAAAUAUCGAUUUACGUUUUUCGAAAUAAUAGUCAAUUGAAUGCAUGAUGAUAAUCCAGGAUGAUCCUAUGAUGCUCAACUGGGCUCGCCAUAAAAUUCAAGACUAUUUUGGCGUUUUGCACGCCGUAUCUCUGCCAGUAAUAUGCAAUGUUUGUAAAAGACUGGAAGCUUGCUAAAAUGUACAAAAAUGCCUAGAUGAGAAAGGGAACAAGAUUGUGUGAUGAAGAACAGUGUCCAACAUGUAGCAGUGCAUUUGACUGUAUAAAUAGACACCGGAAUAAAAUAUAAUUUUCUACUUUUA